GAGAAUUAACACUAGCAUGAACAAGUAAAACGCAAUGAUCCAACUAAGGAUUUCAAAUCAGUUUAGUAGAAAUGACAAGAGGUCUAAAUACCUCAGUUCAAUACCAAGUUGUUCAGAGAAUUAAUCAAUUAAGAUAUUUCGUUUACAUCUUCAUCAUCUUUUACAGGUCAUUGAGCAGUCUUAAGCUAGAGGAUAUUAAACUUUGUUUGAUUAGUGUAGCAACCAAUCAAAAUUGUCAUUUUGACCAGCUAAGAUUCAGUUGAAUUCCAGUAGUUAGUUUGUAUUUCCAUAACAGAUGCAAAUGAUCAAAAAAACCUAAACUAGCAUUUUACGAAGAAAUAGUCUUCUAAAGCAUGCAGCAAUUUGAGUAGAGCACUGAGUUGGUAUUUUAGCAGUCGUACCAACUUCCAUGCCCAUCGUGGAAAGGGAUCACAGUGCAGCCCUCUUUGAAAAGUCAGAGGCCAAAAUAAGGACUGCACACUAAUGCAAUUACGUGCAGUUUCCAUUUCAAGAUUCUUACUUUAACAAUAUCUAGUGAAACUUAAAUUCAGUUAUAACUUACUCAUGGUGCCAAUGAUUGCCAAACCAAACCAACUGCUCACUUGCAAAGCUGCACUGAAGUGCAGUACAGCAGCACUUACUUGGAAUGCUGCCAAGAUAUCGGUAUCUUUGGUUUCAAGUGAACAUACUAAGAACUACUCAGGUUAACCUACGUAUGACCAGCUCAACUGGAACUUCCCGAGUGUUUUAUGACAAUGGCACAAUGGGGACGUAGAACUCCAAAGGAAUCAAGAAGAAGGCAAGGUGUCACACAGCUGGAACUUCCCUAUGGUGGUAAUUGGUGCUAUGACAUGGAUAUGGCCUACAUCCUCUGUGCAAACUUCAGCCGAUAGUAGUGCUGGACAAUAGUACAACCACCAUGGUUUACUAUCCUACCUGUGUGCCAUUGAUGUGGAGAAUCAUUCUCCUCAUUAACACUACUUUAAGAUUUAAUGCAUGAAAGUCACAGCCCCUAAUGCUUUGCUACCAACAUUUAAAGAUGAAAGCUGGCCAUAAAUGACUGCACAAGAUGUUGUAAUGACUAACUCCAGCAAAAGUUAAAAAGGAAAAUGUUGCGAAAGCUGCUGGGGAUUGUACGAAGAGCCAGAAGCAUAUAACCAGACCUCUGUAACCACGAGAUUCUUCAGUUCAUCACAUUUGCUUCUUCUCAAAGUUAAAACUAACAUAUUUUAGCACCAAGUCUCAACCCCAAAGACCAGAGCAAGGAAGCCCUUCACACGAACUGUCUCAUUGAAUCUCAUCUAUCUUGAUAAGCAGUAUGCAGAAGAACAAACACUAGCAGCGCAGCAGUGCAAAUUUGGAAGGAAAUAUGAUAAGUCUUGUUGAGUUUGCUUAAUUAUAACCCGUUGCAGAUUUAUAGCUUAUCUUCUCUGUGUAGCUAGAGAUGCUUUCAAGCUCAAUACUUUUCAGCUAAUAUAAGCAUCUAAGAAUUACGAUGCAAUCAUUGCAGAACUGGGAUUAUAGCCUUUUUUACAAUACAUAUUUCAACUGCAAGUUAAUAGCCAGAGCCCGGACGUCAGGUUAAAGUGGAUUGCGAAAUGCAAAGGCUAGUUCUAAACUUCGAGAGCCCAACAUUUUGAACACUAUACUCUUGGGACCAUUUCCAUUUUCUCGCUUCGUUUUCUUCUAUUUCUUCCAUCUAUCUUCUUCUUCUUCUUUUUUUCUGAAUUAUUCUUCUCUUCCAAUUUUCUCAUCCAAAAACAAAAUAUGAAACUGAGCUAAAGUCUUUCCCGUUUGCAGCUGAGACCAACUAAUAGCCCAAUUAAUGGAAACAUCUGUGGCAUGAAACUCAAAGGCUUCACUGUUUACUAAAGAUUACCUCGCUAAUCAUCAUAGUCUCAUUAAGCUGCCCAAACCAUUUCAACUAAUAUUUAACAAUUGACACAUCACACAAGCACAAAAAAUCAAACUGUGCAAUUAAAUGCACCGCAAAACAAACAAGGAAAAAAAAAA